rnacentral:lncRNA from 1 species
CUGAGGUCACUGCUCAGAAUGUGCUUGCGUGUAUGUAAUGUAUGUCUUCCUAAAUUCUUCCAUCUCUUGAGCGGUGGGUGUCAGAGCUUGUGACUAGGCGUGGACCAAGCGUAUGUGGGUAUUUUGUGACGCUGAGAAUUUGCUUUUGAUGUAUUUUGAAAACUACAUGGAAACAAGACAUUCAGAAAUUGAUUUAGUCUGCGUAAACACACAGUUGUGUGAAGACGUGUUGGUUGCUUUGCACUCAUGUGACCAAUAUCAAACUAGGCAUGACAGUCACACAUGGUUUAAUUAAAAGGCUUAUUAUUAUGAUUAUGAUUGUUUAUCGUCUCAUUGUAUUUACCAAUGUUGUUUCAGAGAUAAGUCAUAUAUGCUUGUAAACGAAAUGAAAGAAACAUAUGGUUCACAUGGUUUGAGCUGGAUGUCUCAAACUCUUUAAUAUUUGCACAUACAUAAAAAUUGUUGAUGCCCUGGUUGAUGUAUUUGAAGUAGCAGGAUGUAAAGUUGAUAGUUAAAGAUUGUACACUUAUUAGGAAUACAUCAAUAAAUCACUAAUGACCAAGUCCAAAUGUUGAUGAAACUCAAAGAAGACUUAGGUUUAUCAGUGAACAUUACCUUUUUUUAGCUUUUUCAAACACCAUUGCUUGAAACCACAUCAUAGUCACAUCUUACAAUAAUUUAUUGUUAUUAUUAUUAUUAUUUUAUCAAUUUCAUGUCCUCAAA